AUUUCUUUUUUUGGGCUAUCCUGUUAAUAUGCACCUUGUUUUUUGUUUCAUAUAUAUGACUUAAACAAAUUAAAUGAUGGAUCUAAAACUUUGAUAAGCUGUUUUCAUCUAUGCUUGGGAAAUCCCUUGUUUAGGUAACUAGCCGUGGAUAUUUCAACUCUCCCUUUCCCGUUUCCUUUUUUUCCCCUCUCUUGGUCAUGAUUCUCAUCAUUCAUAUGAGAUGGUAGGUUUUUAAACUACAUUCAUACCCUGGGUGACCUGAUCUUUUGAAGUUGUUCGCUUCUAUGGGUUUGAUAUUGAGAUUCAAGUGUGGAUUAUUAAGAGAACACUGAAGUUUGCUAAUGACUUGAACCUUAUUGAAAUACACUUCAAGUUUGAUCGACCUUUUUUGUUUGGAAAUUUGCAUUACUUGUGCCAGUUGAUGCAUGACCUACUAUAUCAAGGGGUAUGAUAUUCUUGAAAAUUUAGCACCGGAAAAUAAAAUGAUAUUCUUGAUAUUCUUGAUGGACGUUGCAGUAGCCUCAUGCUCCGCCUGAGACCCUGAGAAGUGAUGCUUCUGAAUUUGAUUCAUUCAUCUCACUUCUUGGGCAAAUUAUCAGGAAUAUCUUAUUCGUUAUUGGGGUGUAUGACAUGGGGGGCUUAAUGUGCCUGAGAAUUAUCAGAUACUUUUAGAGAUAGAACUAGCGGAAAGAAAAAUAAAAUUAAGUUCCUAUACUUCUAUGAAGAUGCCCUCUUUCUUGUCAAAGUUUGUGCAGAGGCUCGGGCAGAUUCAUAGAAUACCGUGAUGUUAGUGGUAGCUAUUUGAUUGGUCACAUCAUCCUGCAUUAGGAUUGGAAGUGCACAGCCAGGUCUCCUGCAGGGAUGUGGCUGAGUCGUACAAGCCUGAGUUUUGCCAGAUCUUAUAAUGUAGACAGGUGGAAUUAUUAUGUUGCGUCAGCUGAAGAGAGCUCUUGGGGUUUUAGAUUUACAAAUCAACUGUGGUUCACGAGGUGCUUAUGAUUCGGUUGUAUUAGGUUUCUUCAUGGAAGUAAACCAACUUGAAGAACUUUGCUUUCCUAUGAUUAAAUGCUAUUGAUAGCAUCAAUAGCAUGCAUUAGCCUUACAGCUUUAAGGAACUCACGAGGGCCUUUUGAUAUUCAUGUAUUUUGUGUACAAGAUAAAAAAAAAAUCAUUAUAGUGAAAUGCUCUAUGAUAAUUAAUGUGCUACAGUACCUUGGGAGAGAACUUUAUCAUGCUAGCUUUUAGGUCCAGUUAAUUUGGAAUAGAGCUAGAGGUAUUUUACAUCACAUCUCCUUCAAAUUACUGGUUGACUGAAGGAAAUGUGAUUUGGAUGGGGUUAUUUUAUUUUUGAAUUUUUGUUGUUUUGAACUAUUAUGAUUCAGGUCAAUAGAAAUACAGAAUCCAAAUCUCCCCUUAAUUGGUGAAGUUGGAAGCUGAUUAACAAA